rnacentral:rRNA from 1 species
CCUACGGGCGGCAGCAGUGGGGAAUAUUGCACAAUGGGCGAAAGCCUGAUGCAGCAACGCCGCGUGAGCGAUGAAGGCCUUCGGGUCGUAAAGCUCUGUCCUCAAGGAAGAUAAUGACGGUACUUGCGGAAGAAGCCCCGGCUAACUACGUGCCGGCAGCCGCGGUAAUAAGUAGGGGGCUGGCGGUAUCCGGAAUUACUGGUCGGAAGGGGGGCGUAGGUGGUUUCUUAAGUCAGAGGUGAAAGGCUACGGCUCAACCGGAGUAAGCCUUUGAAACUGGGAAACUUGAGUGCAGGAGAGGAGAGUGGAAUUCCUAGUGUAGCGGUGAAAUGCGUAGAUAUUAGGAGGAACACCAGUUGCGAAGGCGGCUCUCUGGACUGUAACUGACACUGAGGCACGAAAGCGUGGGGAGCAAACAGGAUUAGAUACCCCGGUAGUC